AUGGAGACCAAGGCGGCAAGGUGCCUCUGCUUGCUGGCGAUGCUCCUGGUGGCCGGGCUCGGGGCGGCGCGUGGCGCCGGGGAGUGCGGCCGCGUGCCGGCGGACAGGAUGGCGCUCAAGCUGGCGCCGUGCGCGGCGGCCACGCAGAACCCCCGGGCCGCGGUGGCGCCCGGCUGCUGCGCGCAGAUACGCAGCAUCGGGCGCAGCCCCAAGUGCCUGUGCGCCGUCAUGCUGUCCAGCACCGCGCGCCAGGCCGGCGUCAAGCCCGCCGUCGCCAUGACCAUCCCCAAGCGCUGCGCCAUCGCCAACCGCUCCAUCGGCUACAAAUGCGGCC
rnacentral:rRNA from 1 species